UACGGGGGGGGCAAGCGUUGUUCGGAAUUACUGGGCGUAAAGGGUUCGUAGGCGGCCAUCUAAGUCAGACGUGAAAUCCCCCGGCUUAACCUGGGAACUGCGUCUGAUACUGGACGGCUUGAGUGCGGGAGAGGGAUGUGGAAUUCCAGGUGUAGCGGUGAAAUGCGUAGAUAUCUGGAGGAAUACCGAUGGCGAAGGCAGGUCUCUGGGCUGACACUGACGCUGAGGCGCGAAAGCCAGGGGAGCGAACGGG
rnacentral:rRNA from 1 species